AGGCCCCUUCGGGGGUACACGAGCGGCGAAAGGGAGAGCCACGCGUGGACAACCUACCCUUGGGUCUGGGAUAGCUGCGGGAAACUGCAGGUAAUACCGGAUAACGUCUGAGGACCAAAGGUGCGAUUCCGCCCGGGGACGGGUCCGCGUCCUAUUAGCUUGUUGGUGAGGUAACGGCUCACCAAGGCAACGAUGGGUACCGGGUGUGAGAGCAUGACCCGGCUCACUGGGACUGAGACACUGCCCAGACACCUACGGGUGGCUGCAGUCGAGAAUCUUCGGCAAUGGGCGCAAGCCUGACCGAGCGACGCCGCGUGUGGGAUGAAGGCCUUCGGGUUGUAAACCGCUGUCAGUUGGGAGGAAAUGCAUAGGGGUUCUCUCCUAUGUUUGACCUAUCUUCAGAGGAAGGACGGGCUAAGUUCGUGCCAGCAGCCGCGGUAAGACGAACCGUCCAAACGUUAUUCGGAAUCACUGGGCUUAAAGGGUGCGUAGGCGGCCUGGCAAGUUGGGUGUGAAAUCCCUCGGCUCAACCGAGGAACUGCGCCCAAAACUGCCAGGCUAGAGGGAGGCAGAGGUGAGCGGAACUUAGGGUGGAGCGGUG
rnacentral:rRNA from 1 species